rnacentral:piRNA from 1 species
UGCAGAAGGGCCCAUUUCAGGAA